rfam:Myotis davidii contig316605, whole genome shotgun sequence.
UGCGGUGCUCGGGUGAUGCACCCUGGAAUUGGGCUCCCUCCUUUCUGGUUCUGGGUGCGUCACC